rnacentral:rRNA from 1 species
AUUGAACGCUGGCGGCAGGCCUAACACAUGCAAGUCGAGCGAGCGGCGGACGGGUGAGUAAUGUAUGGGGAUCUGCCCGAUAGAGGGGGAUAACUACUGGAAACGGUGGCUAAUACCGCAUACUAUCGUAUGAGCCCAAGUGGGAUUAGGUAGUUGGUGAGGUAAAGGCUCACCAAGCCGACGAUCGCCAGCUGGUCUGAGAGGAUGACCAGCCACACGGGGACUGAGACACGGCCCAGACUCAUACGGGAGGAAGCAGUGGGGAAUAUUGGGAAAGGGGGGCAAGCCGGACGGAGCCACGCCGCGGGAAUGAAGAAGGCCUUCGGGUUGUAAAGUUCUUUCGGUAGCGAGGCGGUAUCUAAAGAAGAAGCAACGGCUAACUCCGUGCCAGCCGCCGCGGUAAUAC